UACGUAGGGGGCAAGCGUUGUCCGGAAUUAUUGGGCGUAAAGAGCGUGUAGGCGGCCAGAUAAGUCCGCUGUGAAAACUCGAGGCUCAACCUCGAGCUGUCGGCGGAAACCAUCUGGCUAGAGUCCGGAAGAGGAGAGUGGAAUUCCUGGUGUAGCGGUGAAAUGCGCAGAUAUCAGGAAGAACACCUAUGGCGAAGGCAGCUCUCUGGGACGGUACUGACGCUGAGACGCGAAAGCGUGGGGAGCAAACAGG
rnacentral:rRNA from 1 species